rnacentral:rRNA from 1 species
UACGGAGGGGGCUAGCGUUGUUCGGAAUUACUGGGCGUAAAGCGCACGUAGGCGGCUUUGUAAGUUAGAGGUGAAAGCCCAGGGCUCAACCCUGGAAUUGCCUUUAAGACUGCAUCGCUUGAACAUCGGAGAGGUAAGUGGAAUUCCGAGUGUAGAGGUGAAAUUCGUAGAUAUUCGGAAGAACACGAGUGGCGAAGGCGACUUACUGGACGAUUGUUGACGGUGAGGUGCGAAAGCGUGGGGAGCAAACAGG